rnacentral:rRNA from 1 species
UACGUAGGGGGCAAGCGUUGUCCGGAAUCAUUGGGCGUAAAGAGCGUGUAGGCGGCCUGAUAAGUCGGCUGUGAAAGUCAAAGGGCUCAACCCUUGAAUGCCGGCCGAUACUGUCAGGCUAGAGUCCGGAAGAGGCGAGUGGAAUUCCUGGUGUAGCGGUGAAAUGCGCAGAUAUCAGGAGGAACACCUAUGGCGAAGGCAGCUCGCUGGGACGGUACUGACGCUGAGACGCGAAAGCGUGGGGAGCGAACAGG